UGGCAUGAGUCACUGGAGAUAGGACCUAGC
rnacentral:piRNA from 1 species